AACAGCCCAGGCACAGAAUUGGCGUUGCCAUUGGAGACCAGCUUUUGGACCUCAGUGUUAUCAAGCAUCUUUUCAAUGGACCGGCUCUUGUGCAUCAUCAGGAUGUUUUUGAACAGCCCACACUCAAUGCUUUUAUGGCUCUGGGUUAUGAUGCUUGGAGGGAAGCGAGAAAGUGCCUCCAGAUGCUUCUGGCUGCAGACCAGUCCAUGCUGCGUGAUAAUGCCAGUUUAAGAAGCCGGGCAUUUGUUCAGCAGAGUUCUGCAACGAUGCAUCUCCCAGCUGAGAUCGGUGAGU